AGAAUGAGCAGCAGCAGCAGCAACAGUCGAUCUGAUGAGCACAAACAGCAGCAACAAUGGUUUGGAAGGCUGCAUUGUUUGCUCUUCUCUGGAGCGAGCAAGCUCCUUUUAUGGGCAACGUCCGGCCCAUCCAUCUGUGGAGUAACGUAAGAGGCCUGUUCUCGAGGGGUGGUGGCAAGAAGCAACUUAAGCUGGAAGCCGUUUUGGUUUAUGCUUAACAUCCGAGAUUGACACAAUCACAAGGUGGAAGAUUCUACUUCCUUGUACAAGCCUCAAAAAUCCAGGACACCAGGAAAAGAUGGAAGUUUCAUCUAUGAUCUCUCUCAUCAGCUAUGUGUGAUCGGGCGGAAGCGAUUCAUCACAAGGAAAAGAGCUCUUCAAUCGAUGAGAGAAGGAAGUUGUGAUCGUCUGGGCGGUGGUGGUGGCGAUGGUAGCAGCAGGAGCGCAGGGCGUGAAGCUACUCUCAGCGAGGAAUCCAUUCCAGUCAACCAAACGCUGGCGGAUCUCGAUCAUGGCACUUACUGGAACAGCCUCAACCAGACGCUUUCGACUGUGUCGCAGGACUCGACAACACUGCUCCCACUUCCAGGUGUGAUCCUGUGCGAGAGAGUGGAAAGAAAAAAGAAAGAGAUCUUCCAUAAAAGCUUGGAGGAGAUCUUCUUUACGUUCCAGCGACCAAGUCGAGAAGAAAUAAACAUCCAAUAAAGGCCCCCGUGAUAAAAGUGGAGGACGAUUAACCUCCAACCCACAUCGCCAAUUGGAAGCAUCCAGGUCGUGGACCGCGCCAGGAAAUGUGAAACAGAGCCCAGCGAUGCUGCUUUCUCGGGC